rnacentral:rRNA from 1 species
GGGUCAGUAGGUUGGUCGUGCUACCGGUACGUACUGGUCUCACUGAUUCCUCCUUCCUGAAGGACCGUAAUGCCAUUAAUUUGGUGUUGCGGGGAAACAGGACUGUUACUUUGAAAAAAUUAGAGUGUUUAAAGCAAGCUAACGCUUGAAUACAUUGGCAUGGAAUAAUGAAAUAGGACGAUCGAUCCUAUUUUGUUGGUUUCUAGGAUUGACGUA